rnacentral:rRNA from 1 species
GGGCCCGCACAAGCGGUGGAGCAUGUGGUUUAAUUCGAUGAUACGCGAGGAACCUUACCAGGGCUUAAAUGCAGAGCGAAUAGUUUGGAAACAGACUAGCCUUCGGGCGAUCUGCAAGGUGCUGCAUGGUUGUCGUCAGCUCGUGCCGUGAGGUGUCAGGUUAAGUCCUAUAACGAGCGCAACCCCUAUCGUUAGUUGCCAGCGGGUCAUGCCGGGAACUCUAGCGAAACUGCCGGUGCAAACCGUGAGGAAGGUGGGGAUGACGUCAAAUCAUCACGGCCCUUACGUCCUGGGCUACACACGUGCUACAAUGGCCGGUACAGAGAGCAGCCACUACGCGAGUAGGAGCGAAUCUAUAAAACCGGUCUCAGUUCGGAUCGCAGUCUGCAACUCGACUGCGUGAAGCUGGAAUC